rnacentral:rRNA from 1 species
UACGUAGGGCGCAAGCGUUGUCCGGAAUUAUUGGGCGUAAAGAGCUCGUAGGCGGUCUGUCACGUCUGCCGUGAAAACCCGAGGCUUAACCUCGUGGCUUGCGGUGGAUACGGGCAGACUAGAGGUAGGUAGGGGAGAACGGAAUUCCCGGUGUAGCGGUGAAAUGCGCAGAUAUCGGGAGGAACACCCGUAGCGAAGGCGGCACUCUGGGCCGAUACUGACACUGAGGAGCGAAAGCGUGGGGAGCAAACAGG